rnacentral:rRNA from 1 species
UACGUAGGGGCCUAGCGUUGUCCGGAUUUAUUGGGCGUAAAGCGCGCGUAGGCGGCUACUUAAGUCGGAUGUGAAAGCCCUUGGCUCAACUGAGGAAGUGCACCCGAAACUGAGUGGCUAGAGUGCGGAAGGGGCAACUGGAAUUCUUGGUGGUAGCGGUGAAAUGCGUAGAUAUCAAGAGGAACACCGGUGGCGAAGGCGGGUCUCUGGGCCGAUACUGACGCUGAGGAGCGAAAGCGUGGGGAGCGAACAGG